UACCAGCACCCCCGAGUGGUCGGGACGAUUAUUGGGUCUAAAGCAUCCGUAGCCGGUUCUACAAGUCUUCCGUUAAAUCCACCUGCUUAACAGUUGGGCUGCAGAGGAUACUAUAGAGCUAGGAGGCGGGAGAGGCAAGCGGUACUUAGUGGGUAGGGGUAAAAUCCGUUGAUCCGCUGAAGACCACCAGUGGCGAAGGCGGCUUGCCAGAACGCGCUCGACGGUGAGGGAUGAAAGCUGGGGGGAGCAAACCGGAUUAGAAACCCG
rnacentral:rRNA from 1 species